UUCCUUUCCAGUGCUUAACGUUGUCCUGUAAACACGUGGGUGCGAUUGUAAUUAUCGAAUUUAAGGCGAAAUACUCUGCGAAUCGUAAUGCCGUUGGCUAGAGAUUUUCUCCAUCCGAGCCCCAUCGAGGAGAAAAGGAAACACAAACUGAAGAGGCUCGUACAGAAGCCUAACAGUUAUUUUAUGGAUGUCAAAUGCCCGGGCUGCUAUGCUAUCAAAACAAUUUUCUCACAUGCCCAGAGGCCAGUAGAAUGUGACGGAUGCCGUACGAUACUUUGUACACCAACGGGUGGAAAAGCACGGUUAACUGAGGGAUGCUCUUUUAGAAGAAAAGUCCAGUGUUAAUUUUAUUCGAUAUGUAUUCGAUUUCUCUCUUUAUAUUCGAUAAAUAAACACGAUCACAUUA
rnacentral:sRNA from 1 species